CCUACGGGUGGCAGCAGUCGAGAAUCAUUCACAAUGGGGGAAACCCUGAUGGUGCGACGCCGCGUGGGGGAAUGAAGGUCUUCGGAUUGUAAACCCCUGUCAUGUGGGCGCAAAUUAACAAGAUAGUACCACAAGAGGAAGAGACGGCUAACUCUGUGCCAGCAGCCGCGGUAAUACAGAGGUCUCAAGCGUUGUUCGGAUUCACUGGGCGGAAAGCGUGCGUAGGCUGUUUCGUAAGUCGUGUGUGAAAGGCGCGGGCUCAACCCGCGGACGGCACAUGAUACUGCGAGACUAGAGUAAUGGAGGGGGAACCGGAAUUCUCGGUGUAGCAGUGAAAUGCGUAGAUAUCGAGAGGAACACUCGUGGCGAAGGCGGGUUCCUGGACAUUAACUGACGCUGAGGCACGAAGGCCAGGGGAGCGAAAGGGAUUAGAUACCCUAGUAGUC
rnacentral:rRNA from 1 species